GAGGCACUUACCUAGAAGAUAUGAAGCAGCUAGAAGUCAGGGCUGUUCUGCAUAGUGUACUUUCCUUGAACAGAGGUUAUAGAUAUUAUCUCCCUGCUGUAGUAAAAUGUUUAAUACUCUCCUGGGAAGAUGUCACUUCCAGCUCCUGGCAUAGUGAGGUCUGAAAUAGUUUCCCCUCAACACAUGCCUGUGACAGCCUCUGUGAAGACUUGCUUGGCACUGAAUUAAAAGUCCCUUAUGAAGAUGAUGAUAAAGAGCCACAAGCAAAAGUUUUUCUAAACCACGUACCAGCAAUGUACGAAAGUGCUGUAUAUAAGGCACUGGAGAGCCAGAACUGAAUUAUGAAGAUCCUUAGAGAGUGACCUCAGUCUAAUGAAGAAGACAGAUAUAUAAAGCUACUUAGUGGGGGCAUACACAUUGUGUCCUACUCUUUUCCUUGGUUUUUAUUUCUAAUUAUUUUGCUUUGUUUCUAAAGUCUCAGUUUUAAAAGACAAAUCUGAUUCAAUUGUGUUUAGAUCAGAGAACGGACCCAGGGUGCCUAAUUCAGUCAUUCAGAGAUUAUUAUCCUAGUGCUUAGUUAAAGAUUAAAGUUGACUGAGGCUGUCAGGACAACUUUUACUGCUCCAAGAAACAAACCUUCAAGGAUUCCUUUUCAGAUGCUGAAGAACAACAAUUAAGUUGUUGAUGACACCAUCUCCACCCUCAACAACCAUCCCACACCCCAGUGGGGCUCUUCUGCUGGCAAAGUGUGGGGACCCUUAUUCCAUUCUUACUGACAGUUACUUCUUUCAUUACAGCAAGUUUCUAUGCCUGUAUACCUUAUAGUAGAUGGUGUGGGGGACUGGAAUUGGCCACCCCAAGAUAUGUCUCUUUGGCAUGAGGAUUAUUUUGGGCUGGUUACUUUUAAAAAACUGCAGACAGGAAAGAAACUCUGAAAAGUAGAAUUUACUUACCCUUUGUUAAGAGAUAUUUACAUUGUAAAGGAAAUCUCCAUCUGUAAAGGUGCCUCCCUCUCUGUACCAGGAAGGAGGGAUGACCUUACCUCUAGGAACUCUUACCAAUGUAGAAGGCAAGGACUGAAGUCUGCAUAAUAACCUGACUCUUGUUUACUGUACUUAUGUGGUACAUGAUCCCAUGAUCGACUUCCACCCCCCACCCCCAUCAUCCUCCUUUGCCUUUAGCUGAAGAUGAUAUUUAAGGUGGUGGUUUCAGCCAUUUUGGCAAGUUGCUCAGGUUGCCUGAGCCUCUCCCAUGUAUACACGUUAUAAAGCUUUGUUGAAUUUUCUCCUGUUAUUCUGUCUCAUGUGAAUUUAAUUCGUUCUCUGGCCACAAGAACACAGAGCAGGUAGAGGAAAUGUCUUCCUCCCCUACAAUGGUGAGGAGGCUUUUAAAAAAAUUGCACAAUUGGACUUUUUCACAGCUUGGCUACAUUCUGGCUUGGAUGUUCAGUAGUUCUUAAAACAGGCUUUAUAUCUUUUAAAGUCAAUUCCUUUUUAUAAAUGAAAGGAGAAAGAAGAUAGCAUUCAUGAAAUGCCUGUCCAGGUGUAAUAUAUCUCAUGAAGGAAACUGAAGACCUAAGACAAAGAUCAGCAAACGUAGUCUGUAAUUGUAGAGCUAGAUAGUAAAUAUUUUAGGUUUUGUACGCUGUACUCUUUCUGUUACAACUUUGCUAUUUUAGCAUGAAAGCAACCUUAGACAAUAUGUAAACAAAUGACUAUGCUGUGUUCCAAUAAAACUUUAUUGAUGAACCCUGAAACUUGAAUUUUAUAUGGUUUUCAUGAGUCAUGCAAUAUUAUUCUUCUUUUGAUCUUUUUUCAACCAGUUUAAGAUGUACGAACUGUUCUUAGCUCAAAGGUCAAAUAAAAAUAGGAGCCAGGCCAGAUUUUGGCUACAGGCCAUAGCUUACCAACCCCUGACCUGAGAUAUAAAGUACUUGUCUAAUCUGAACCAGAGCAAGAUCCCUAUCUUUUCAAUUGCAGCUCAAUACUCUCUUCACUAUGCCCCAUACCACUCUAUAGCCCACUAAAUAAGAGAGAUGCUGACAGUGAUGUGAGAACAAAAUCAUGAGAAAAUAGGGAGGAAAAAUUGAAGACACUUAGCCCAUAAAAACAAAGGGCACAUUUCCAAGUUUCAAUACUCCUUUGAUUGGGUAGGUACAUAGUCACAGGAGCUGGAUGAAGUUGGAUAGGUUUUAAUCUUAUCUUUGAGUUCAUUUUAGCUUGGAAUCAGUUGGGGAGUAGACAGGAGACAAGUCCUGUUCCAAUAGCAUGGAUUUCAGCAGGAAUGGCCACAUUAAGUACAAAUGGUAGCAAUUCAGGAAACAGGGCCAUCACCCGUCACCUCAUUUUGUUGCCGCCAACAUUUUACUCAUGCUGCUACCCAUCUCUGAAAUCUUCUCUAUAGUACCAUCAUCUCAAACUGAGAUUCCAUCCCGUUUUUAAGAGCCAUAUUAAAUGACUCCUUUCCUUGAAUCCUUCUCGGUUUCCUCCACAUAGAAGAAAUAGCUCUCUACUUUGUCCUCUAUAAUCAUGUUAUAUUUUGCUCGAGACGUAUUUGUGCAUCAGAUAUACAAAAGACAGGUAGCAACUCAUCCCUUAAGAAAGGAAGUCCAAGUGGAGACUAGAGAGAAUCAGUUCAUCAAGGUGAGAAGUGUGGGCUCAGAGCAUAGCUCUAGAUGGGUACUGACUAAGCUGUAGAAACUGAACUGAAGCCAAAAUAUCCCAAGGUGUUAUAGGUUUAGGAAUGUUUCAGUCAAUCUUGAAGUUCAAUCUGCAGGUAUGACAAUGUAGUAAUGGCUCCAAGCCAAAGCUACAAUUUGAGAGUCAACCAGGCUGCAGCCAUAUUUCCAAAGGUUUUGCUCUUACUGGAUAGUGAAUAGAGGUUAUGCAGAGACUAUAGUCCUAGGAGGAUCAAAGUCAUGAAAACUGAGGCUCAGAACAGAGUUCUCAGACAAAUAGGGUAAUAGUAAUUAUAAUAACAGUAAUAAUAAUGAUAAUAAUAUUAGCUAGUAGUCUUGAGUAAUUAUACCAUGAGUGCCACUGUUAGGUAUUUUAUAUGCAUUAACUCAUUUAAUCCUCAAAACAAUCUUAUGAGGUAGGUAUUACUAUAGCCCCAAAUUUAUAUAUGAAGAAGUUAAUCCUUCCAAAUCUUGAGUAUCUAUCCCGAGGUUAAAUAGAUAGUGUUGGUCUGCUGGAAAAAGGACCCCAACACAAGUAUUCCUAUAAGCCAGUAGAAUUAACCAGAUGAAUCAACACAAGAGGAGUUAAUGAGGACUGAAAAUGUAGUUUAUCUCUGAUUAACCAGUUUUUAGGUACAACUAGAGUAAAGUGUUCUAAAACUAUAUAGAAGUACGUCAAAUGUGUGAUUUUCCCCAAAUCUUGGGUAUGAGUCAUAAUUCUAAACCCUAUUCACAAUAAAAGGCUGGAGCUUGUGAUAGUCAAUUGAGGUUGGCUUAGAAAUUACAGCAAAUAGGGUGCAUAGGUUUGUCCAGUGGGAAAGGUAAAUAUGCAAAGGCAAGGGAACAAGACAAGAGUUUAUAGACGAGACGAGUGAGGGAAAGUAAAUUUUAUAGGAUGUUUGCCAGGUUUCUGGUUUAGAUGAUUAAAUGGAUAGUAAAGACUUUCAAAUGGGAAGGAAUAGUGAAUGGUUUUAAAUUUCUCAAAGAUGCCAAAUAAUACAAGGACUAAAAAAUUAACAGUGACAGCAAUUCCACUUCUGAGUAUUUAUUUGAAGAAAAUGAAAAUACUAACUCAAAAAGAUAUCUGCACCCCCAUGUUUAUUGGAGCAUAAUUUACAAUAGCCAAGAUAUGGAAACAAUCUAAGUGCCCAUUGAUCUACAAAUGGAUAAAGAAAACAUUAUGUAUACACACACACACACACACACACACAGUGGAAUAUUAUUCAGCCAUAAAAAGAAUGAAAUCUUGCCAUUUGCAACAACAUGGAUGGACUUUGAGGUUAUUAUGCUAAGUGAAAUAAGUCAGGCGGAGAAAGACAAAUACAUCACGAUGUCACUUAUAUGUGGAAUCUAAAAAAGAAAAAAAAGGCUCGCAGAGAACAGAAUGAUGGUUGCCGGAGGUGGAGGUUGUUGAAUAGGCAAAAAUGGGUGAAAGGGGUCAAAAAAAUUAAUGUUGAAUUUUUCAGUUAGAAAGUCUUUGGUAACCUUGACUUAUACUCUUCUAGUAGAAGGAUAGGGCGAGAAUGCAGAAGUCCAGGGAUUGAAUAUAAAACAGGAGUGGAAAUAAUGAGUAAACUCUCAGAAAGAAGUCUCAAGAAUCAUACCCUAUGCCACAUGACAAGGCAAGAUUUCCUCAAGGUAGAACACUACUUAAAGCAAAUAUGAGGUCUCUGAAAUGUUUUUAAAAAUAUAAAAGCUUCAAGAGUAUAUAUGCUAACUUCUCUUCAGCCUUAAUGUCUCAAUUUAGAUACCAACUCCUCUAGAAAGACUCUGCUAAGACUGAUUGGGAGCCCCUCCAAUGUACUCUUACUGCACCUUGUGACUUAUAACAAUUUAAUGUGUAUCAUGUUUCAUUGAAAUAUCUUAUUUUCCCUUUUUGUCUGUUUCAUGAAGAUAAUAAUAAUACUUGCUUCACAGGGUUACUUAGAGAACCAGUGUUUGACUCACAGGAAGCACCACAUCAUGUCAGGUCCUGUUAUUAUCAUCAUUGUCAUCAUGAUAACUGGAUGAAUCUAAACUACCUAAGUGAGGGGGAAGUCUUAUCCACAUUAUCUAGAAUAAGUAGGAGCUUUCAAUAAAUAUUUGUUGAGUUACUGAAUAGGUGGAGAAACACAUUUACUAAUUAUCAAUUGAUUAAUAAAUGCCAUAGAAAUAAACUUUGAAGUUGAUUUUGAGAUUAUUUCCUGCUUUCCCAAAAGGAAGACCAAUAGCUGUAUACCAGAUUGAAAAGGACAAUAUUUCUCGCCAGAACCAUGAAGAUCUCUAAGUGCCCCAAAUAUCUAGUAAUUAAGCAAAAGUAAAAUUAGCCAUCAAAACAUUUAAAUUUAUGCCAUAAGAACUUACCUUUCUGAGAAAGCUUCUCUCACAGGGUAGAAUUUCCAAGACACUUCAAAUCAAAGGGUAGGUGGUUUUGUGAGUAUCUUGAGACAUAAACCCUCUAGAGAACAAUUUGGCAAUAUCUAUCAUAAGCCUUAAAAAUUCAGCAAUUCCUUUCCUAGAAAUAUCCUAAAAUAGUAAGUAAGAACAUGAAUAAAUGUUUGGUUUUAAAGAUACUUAUAACAAC
rnacentral:lncRNA from 1 species